ACUGUUUUUGGGCAUCAUUCAGGUAUGUCUUUUAGAGGGUAUUGAGUAAAAAUUUCUGGAACUUUUUAAAACAAUCUUCCAUUAUGCAUCCUCACUGAAUAUUUUAGUACGAGUCUGUCCAUAGCCAAUACUGGCAAUUGCCGUCUCAUUUAAACAAUUUUUGACGGGAUAUCAUGUUAUCUCUGACUAUACAAAUUUUCCUUUUCUCAUAAAAGAGCAAUGAUAUUUAAUAUUCAUUUCAUAAUCACAACAGAACACAUCAAAACAUGCUUGAUAUUCACCUUUUAGAAUUUUAAAUACAAAAAAAAAAAAAAAAAUAAUAAUAAAAAAAAUAUCCUGUCCCGAUUCGGAAACAGAACGUUAUCUAACCUAUUCUUUCUCUCUAUAUAUCAUUGUAGGUAUUUCCGGUGUUGACUUGAAACAUUUUCAUUCACGAUGUUGCGGAUUCAUCAUUGCAUGUGCAUGGGGUAGUGCAUAUGUUAUGUGUGGCCUUUUAAACGAUAAAUCUAUGGAUUAAAGGAUGAACAGGUCGAUGUAGGGAUAUUCAUUCUAAUGAUAAGGAAAUACGAAAUGCAAGGACAACCUCCAAGCAUGAAGUAUGCCUUAUACAAACAAUGAUGGGAUGUUCCAAAACUAAAGAGUCGAAAGGCCCAGCUGGAGAGAGAUUCCCAUUUCUCGACCAAGGACAAAAAAAAAGAUUAAAAAGGUGCUGACUAAGGAGGCAACGUCUCCAGAAGUAACGGAUGAUGAGGAAGCCACCCAGAGGAAGGUCUUACCAUUUAUAUGGGAGUCAUCCCUGCUGCGUAAUGUUAAGUGCAACCUGGACAGAGAGUAUGCUGAAUCUUUGCAACUUCAAUCAAAGAGACAAAAAGCCAAGGCCAUUAGAAGUAGAACGGAAAUGACUAUGACCCCACCAUCUAGGAGCAUUCAAGAGUGGGCCGUUUCGUCUACUUAUAAAUGAUGCUAUUACUGUUAAUAGUUAUAUUUAAUUUCCUCAUUUCUAGCUCACCUGAGCCAAAGGCUCAAGGUCACAAUUAAUAAUAUUAUACCGUUAUAACCAGUUUUUAUGAAAUUUUAAUAAUGCUGUUGAAGGAGAAUUGCAAUUUUUCGGAUGUUUAUAUUUGAUACUGUUUAAGUAUGUCUAGCAUCUUAAAAAGUGUGAUGACCUAUCUAUUUCAUUUGAUAAUUUAUUAAUUUUAACUUUAAUAAAUUGAAAUAAAUGCAUUUUCGAUACUUUUAUCAGAGAACAUUGCAAGUAUGGAGUUACCUUGAUAUAUUUAUACAGAUUUGUUCUGCUUUAGUUCUAGUAUAUCAGUAUUAUUACAUCAAGUUCAUUUGUGUGAAUAUUAUAAUAUUUAAGAAUGAAUAAAACUGUCAAAUUGUG